AGCGUGUUGUCCUUGUGUGUGGACCAAAUCGUCCGCACCAGAUUCGUCGCCCCUCACCUCGCAUUCCUUCGCCUCCUCCGCCUCCCCGUCGCAGCGCCAUCGCCGAUCUCCUCAAAGUCGGCCCUUCUCCGCCUCCCAGUCACAGCGCCAUCAUCGAUCUCCUCGAGCCGGCCCUUCAACUCAAUCCCUUAGCCCUCCUCCCCCCGUUGGCCGUGAAGAAGGCUCCAUGGCGUCGCCGCAGCGAUGGAUUUGUCACUGGCGGGGAACGACACCGCAACGCGCACCAAAAGAGAGGCUCACAUGGGAGACCUGCGCGUCGUCCUUGCCCGCGGACCAAAUCAUCUUUGCCUGAUUCAUCACGCCUCGCCUCACGGUCGUUCGCCUCCUCCGUCUCGCAGUUGCAGCGCCAUCGCCGGCCCUUCGACUCAAUCCCGCAGCCCUCCUCCGCCGUUGGCCGUGAAGAAGGCUUGAUUUCGUGGCCGCGGGGGAGGUGGGUGGAGACCGAAUCUGCAAGGGGCUCUAUCAGCGCACGCAGACUUUGCUGACAGGAUCGACACGGCAGAGUGGCGGCGCCAGCGCGAGGGCGGGACACGAGAGUGCCAAGGCGCGUUGGACCAGAUUUUGACGCGCGGGAAUAGGCACGCGUAGGAGGAGGAAGAUGGUGAGGGGUCCCGCUCGGCAAAAGAGGCUAGCGGAGGGGAAUAGAUGCUGAGCUAUAGCACGGGGAGUAAGAUGGAGAGACCGUUGGAUGGUGUUUUUAUGGCCCUUUAUUCAAAUUUACCCAGCUAAAUAAAUUUAUUUAUGUUGUUGGAGUUGCUCUUACAAUUGUUGUUCAUCCUACUCCAUUUGCCAACUUUAUAAUCUUAACAAAUAUUUCUCUAA